rnacentral:rRNA from 1 species
UACGAAGGGGGCUAGCGUUGCUCGGAAUUACUGGGCGUAAAGCGCAUGUAGGCGGCCACGCAGGUCGGAUGUGAAAUCCCUCGGCUCAACCAAGGAAGUGCAUUCGAAACCGCAUGGCUGGAGUCCCGGAGAGGGUGGCGGAAUUCUCGGUGUAGAGGUGAAAUUCGUAGAUAUCGAGAAGGAACACCGGCGGCGAAAGCGGCCACCUGGACGAG